rnacentral:rRNA from 1 species
AACAAGUUUUCCGUAGGUGAACCUGCGGAAGGAUCAUUA